rnacentral:lncRNA from 1 species
CCUCAUUUUUUUAGAAGUUUCGCCUUCUGUCGUUUUCCUAAUUCCAGCACCUACAUUCACAGUCAACCUGAAAAAAGUGCAAAAGGCACAUUAGUAUUAAUUUUGGAUUUAAAGAACUUGAAGAACAUCAAAGUAUCAGUCAAUAAUUUAUGAUUGAAGUGGUGGAUAUGAAUUGGUGGAUUGUGAAUGCAUGGAGCAAGUUAUACUCUAUUACACCUAUGAUAUUAGAUAUAUAGUCAAGGAUGUAUCAACAAAUCAAGAUAGAAUCAUUUGCAUGUAUAUAAAAUAAUCGAAAACCCACAAGAAAUAAAUCAAAAGUACAUACAAAUUAACGGAUAUCUAAAAAUAGAAGUAACAUAUAUAUACCUUGAAGAUGGGGCACUAACUGGUGGAAUCUAGAUUAGAAGUGGGUUCAUCUUGAAACAGGAUAAUCAAGUCAUUGAUAAUACCAAUUACGAUUAAAAUUCACGGUGGUCUUUUACCAUUAGAGACUCCACGACGACCUUAUCGCCAAUUACAGUUUUUAAAAGCAAUACAAAAUCAAUAACCUAGAACUCUCGCACUAAAGAAAAUUUUAUAAGGAAUUCAAAUAGGAAAAAGUCAUAUUGAAAACAAAAAGUAUCCCCACUAAGAUCUUCAAAUUUAAGCUUGCCUAUAAGAUAAUUUUCUUGAUUAUGAUCCAAACUACCAUAAAAAUAAUAAAUGUGCACAACCUUUGUUGCCAUGCUAAGUUGCGGGGACUCUCCAAAAAUCCGACACACAUUCGAUGACAUCUUUGAAGAGUCCUAGUAACUUAGUAUAACUGAUUUAGGUUGCUAUUUGUACUAUCAUGUAAUGCAAUGUUCAUACAUCAAAAGGAGAAUAGCUUCAUAUUUCAUUAAGAAGAGAAAAAACAAAUAAAAACACAAACAGAUUAGAGAAAAAGAGGCUCAAAUUGAAGUGCUUAACGGUAAAUAAUUGAAGAAAUAGCAAAACACUGACAUGCAGUAACUUUAAAUUUGGAGCCCUCUCUGAGUCCCACUUUCUUCUCAAAUUCCGCCAUGAAAAUUUCUUAAACAAAUAACAAAAAGCAUCAGUUUCUCCAUUUUGACAAUUCUUCACAUGUCUGAAACUCAAUUAUUCUUGCUCUUUGUCUGAAGUUCAUUUCUUCCGUUUUUAUUCUCAAAUUUUGCCAUGAAAAUUCUUGAACCCAUUAAAAAAGCCACUCUUUUAGCUAAAUCUGAGAAUUCUGCACUCACAUUUGAAUAACAGAAACUCUGUUUUUGCUCUUUUUGUGAAGUUCCCAAAUCCCCUUACAUUACAAAAUUGAAGAAACAUCAAAUAGCAAGAAGCCAUAAAAAUGACAUGCAAACAACGAAUAAAAACUUUUUCAAAUUAAAAAAAGUACGUUUAAACUAAAUUAUCAACAUAGAAAAAGACAUGAAACUCUCUGUAUCAUUACCCACUCCAAUUGUCCUAAGAUAGAGGACCCAUAAAAUUUUCAGAAAUAAAAAACCUAACCAACAGCUAAACAGAAGGCGAAGAG